rfam:Strongylocentrotus purpuratus Contig44852_fixed, whole genome shotgun sequence.
GUCUCCUUGGUCCAGUGGUCAAGACAUUGGCAUUCUUAGCCAGUGACCCUUGUUCGAUUCCAGGCGGAGUCC